rnacentral:rRNA from 1 species
GACAGAGGUGCCGAGCGUUAGGCGGAAUCACUGGGCUUAAAGCGUGUGUAGGCGGCCCUGCAAGUCGGGUGUGAAAUCCCACGGCUCAACCGUGGAAGUGCACUCGAAACUGCAGGGCUAGAGUCCUGGAGAGGAAGGUGGAAUGCUUGGUGUAGAGGUGAAAUUCGUAGAUAUCAAGCGGAACACCGGUGGCGAAGGCGGCCUUCUGGACAGUGACUGACGCUGAGACGCGAAAGCGUGGGGAGCAAACAGG